rnacentral:tRNA from 1 species
GCUGGUGUUGCCCAGUGGAUAGAGCGUCAGCCUGUGGACUGAAGGGUCCCGGGUUCGAAUCCCGGUCAAGGGCA